rnacentral:lncRNA from 8 species
AUGUGUCUGGGAACACAGAGAGCAGGGGAGAGAAGGCAUGUGUCUGGGAACACAGAGAGCAGGGGAGAGAAGGCAUGUGUCUGGGAACACAGAGAGCAGGGGAGAGAAGGCAUGUGUCUGGGAACACAGAGAGAGCAGGGGAGAGAAGGCAUGUGUCUGGGAACACAGAGAGAGCAGGGGAGAGAAGGCAUGUGUCUGGGAACACAGAGAGAGCAGGGGAGAGAAGGCAUGUGUCUGGGAACACAGAGAGAGCAGGGGAAAGAAGGCAUGUGUCUGGGAACACAGAGAGAGCAGGGGAGAGAAGGCAUGUGUCUGGGAACACAGAGAGAGCAGGGGAGAGAAGGCAUGUGUCUGGGAACACAGAGAGCAGGGGAGAGAAGGCAUGUGUCUGGGAACACAGAGAGCAGGGGAGAGAAGGCAUGUGUCUGGGAACACAGAGAGCAGGGGAGAGAAGGCAUGUGUCUGGGAACACAGAGAGCAGGGGAGAGAAGGCAUGUGUCUGGGAACACAGAGAGCAGGGGAGAGAAGGCAUGUGUCUGGGAACACAGAGAGCAGGGGACGGAAGGCAUGUGUCUGGGAACAGAGAGCAGGGGAGAGAAGGCAUGUGUCUGGGAACACAGAGAGCAGGGGAGAGAAGGCAUGUGUCUGGGAACACAGAGAGCAGGGGAGAGAAGGCAUGUGUCUGGGAACACAGAGAGCAGGGGAGAGAAGGCAUGUGUCUGGGAACACAGAGAGCAGGGGAGAGAAGGCAUGUGUCUGGGAACACAGAGAGCAGGGGAGAGAAGGCAUGUGUCUGGGAACACAGAGAGCAGGGGAGAGAAGGCAUGUGUCUGGGAACACAGAGAGCAGGGGAGAGAAGGCAUGUGUCUGGGAACACAGAGAGAGCAGGGGAGAGAAGGCAUGUGUCUGGGAACACAGAGAGCAGGGGAGAGAAGGCAUGUGUCUGGGAACACAGAGAGCAGGGGAGAGAAGGCAUGUGUCUGGGAACACAGAGAGCAGGGGAGAGAAGGCAUGUGUCUGGGAACACAGAGAGCAGGGGACGGAAGGCAUGUGUCUGGGAACAGAGAGCACUCAGUGUGCCAGGGAACAGCAGUGAAGAGAUUGCCAUCUGAUAGGCCUGACUAA